rnacentral:tRNA from 1 species
UGGUCACUGCGCUCGCCUUGCACGCGGGAGACCCGGGUUCGAUUCCUGGCGGUGUCA